UACGGGGGGGGCAAGCGUUGUUCGGAAUUACUGGGCGUAAAGGGCUCGUAGGUGGCCAACUAAGUCAGACGUGAAAUCCCUCGGCUUAACCGGGGAACUGCGUCUGAUACUGGAUGGCUAGAGUUUGGGAGAGGGAUGCGGAAUUCCAGGUGUAGCGGUGAAAUGCGUAGAUAUCUGGAGGAACACCGGUGGCGAAGGCGGCAUCCUGGACCGGCAUUGACGCUGAGGCGCGAAAGCCAGGGGAGCAAACGGG
rnacentral:rRNA from 1 species